rnacentral:rRNA from 1 species
GCACAACGCGAAGAACCUUACCAAGGCUUAAAUGUAGAUUGACCGAUUUGGAAACAGAUCUUUCGCAAGACAAUUUACAAGGUGCUGCAUGGUUGUCGUCAGCUCGUGCCGUGAGGUGUCAGGUUAAGUCCUAUAACGAGCGCAACCCCCUGUUGUUAGUUGCCAUCGAGUCAAGUCGGGAACUCUAACAAGACUGCCAGUGCAAACUGUGAGGAAGGUGGGGAUGACGUCAAAUCAUCACGGCCCUUACGCCUUGGGCUACACACGUGCUACAAUGGACGGUACAGAGAGCAGCCACUACGUGAGUAGGAGCGAAUCUAUAAAACCGUUCUCAGUUCGGAUCGGAGUCUGCAACUCGGCUCCGUGAAGCUGGAAUCGCUAGUAAUCGGAUAUCAGCCAUGAUCCGGUGAAUACGUUCCCGGGUCUUGUACACACCG